UUAACUCAUUUAACAACUCAACCCAUCAAAUUAAAUGAGUUAUGGGUUGACCCAACCCAUUUAACAAAAUGAGUUGGGUCAACCCAUAACUCAUUUAACCCUAAACUCAUUUGAUUAUGAGU
rnacentral:pre_miRNA from 1 species